GGAGAACGAGGGGCAGGUGGCGGCGUUAAAAGGGAGGUUGCGUGCGUGGUCGGUAUGUAUUGGGGGUAAAGCGAGGGCAGGGGGGUUGUUAAGUCUGAGGUAAAAGGCUUGGGCGAAAACAUAGUAGGCGUUGGAAACUGUCAAACUUGAGUGCAGAAGGGGGGAGUGGAAUUCCAUGUGUAGCGGUGAAAUGCGUAGAUAUAUGGAGGAACACCGGUGGCGAAAGCGGCUCUCUGGUCUGUAACUGACGCUGAGGCUCGAAAGCGUGGGGAGCAAACAGGAUUAGAUACCCGGGUAGUC
rnacentral:rRNA from 1 species